GGUGAACACGCGCGCGUACACAAGUGUGACGACAGUAGCGUAACCGCGAGGCGGCCUCGUUCUGCUGCGUACGUGGAUUGCUGCGUUUUAACCGAUUUGACAAAUACGCGUCUGGCGAUCAGAUACGAUGGCAAACGAUCGCUCCAAUGUCUUCUAUCCGAACUUUCAACGAUCCAACAUUCACUCGACGAUUGAUAGAUACUGCUAAGCGAGAUUCGCCCUAAGAGACAGAGCUGUGACACGCCAACAGCUUGGUCGAAAGUCGGACGCCGAGUGGACAGAGGUUCCAGCAGCGAGCAGCACGGAGGGUUGAAACAAAUCCAGCUGGUGUUACCCCGUAACCGCAGAGUGGCGCCCGCUAACGGAGACGCCUGGAAACAUCAGGCGUCCCGGCGUCCAUGGUUCCCCGGAUUGCCACCAGAUCGAGAUACGACUUCGCUUCUAAUCGUGACACGGGGUAUAUAUCGCGCGCCGAUAAAACAGGAUCGUCGAUCCAGCUCGCCGUCAACACUUGCUCCCGGCAUCGAGAGCGAUAGAAAGACGGUGGAAACACGGGCAAAACGAGUAAAGUGUCAUCGAUAUCGUUCCGUCUGCGACAAGAAGAGUAUCGGGACCACCGUGAAUGACACGAAUCUACGCGGCGACAAGUGCAUACAAUGGUAUCCUGACCGGAUAUACGGCGAGGAACGAGGAGCAUAGAGAGAGAGA
rnacentral:misc_RNA from 1 species